CCGUUUUAUUCGCUGAAUUGCCUUUCAGGCAAACGGGGGAACCAAUUGCGGAAGCUUGUGUGAGAGCGAGCAUUCGCGCGGGGUGAAUCCUGCCACCGAGAUUCGACUCGUUGGCAGGUAGGGCGACUCUCACCGCCCGAAUCCGUCAGCUAACCUCGUAAGCGACAUAGGAGAGGCAAC
rnacentral:sRNA from 1 species